GUGCGUGCGCGCGCGCGCAUGUGGUGCUGAGCUUGGCAGGGGAGAGAUGGCCUCACUAGCGAUUGAGCACAAAGCAUUCCUGCUGCUGUUGCUGCCACCUACCUUCCCUGCUUUGGGAGGAUAAAUUUUCUCCUCUUGCUUAGAAGUUUAAGGGAGUCACCUAAGCCUUCUUCUCCCAGAUACAACAGCGGAAUAAAGUAUCUUCCAAGCAACAGUUUUUUUUUUUUUUUUUUUUUUUUUUAGACGGAAUCUCACUCUGUCACCUGGUUUGAGCGCAGCAGCGUGAUCACGGCUCACUGCAACCUCCACCUCUCGGUUUCAAGUGAUUCUCCUGCCUCAGCCUCCCGAGUAGCUAGGAUUACAGGCGUGUGCCACCCACCACGCCUGGGUAAUUUUUGUAUUUUAGUAGAGACGGGGUUUCACUAUGUGGGCCAGGCUGGUCUCAAACUCCUGACCUCUGGUGAUGUGCCCACUUCGGCCUCUCAAAGUGCUGGGAUUACAGGCAUGAGCCACCGCACCUGGCUGCAACCAACUUUUUUGUGGAAUACAGGAUCUUGAUGUUUGGGUGCCUGAAGGCAGAAGCUGCUGCACAUGGAAUGGAUUAAAAGUCUCCCCUCUGCAACCAAAAAUCCUUGGGAUCCCAGGAGCAAAAGAUGCUCCAGCGCACAGGACAAUUCAGGAAGGCCCGAGGUGAUACUGAAGACUGCAGAGACAUCCAGCUCGGUUGUGUCUCCGGAGGUGUCCAGACUUUGCAGACAGACGUUGCACAUAAAGAGCUGAAAAACCGAGGAAGCUGAGCUGGAGAAGGAAAUCACUUCUACUUAGCCUUGACCUGCGUCUGAUGCUAUGGGGCCUCUUAGGGUUACCUCAUGCUUCAUGCACCCCUUUCUCUGCUCCUCAGCAGAAGGCAGGGAGCAGGGAGGUGGGUCUGUGCCUCCUUUCUCCCUGCCAGGCCUGACUCUCCAGGCCGAGAGACACCAUUAAGGAGUAUAAUUUGUUGAUCCAGGCUCUCCUUGCGUUUCAGUGCAGAGUGGCAUCGUUUUCUUUAUGACCUCGUAAAGUCACAGCCGAGAGGCCGAUUUGGAAAACAAACUGCCUCAGGUUGACAGAUAAUUAGAUACAGGGGACAUAUUAUAUGCCUUUGCAUAUAAAUGUGCUCCAAGGCGUGUUGGUUCAUCUGAAGUUGAGGUUAAAGGCGCGCCAGGUAUUCCUGACACAUCAGGAUAUAUAUUUUCAUACAGUCUCAGGCGCCGUGUUGGUUUUAUAGGCCUUUCAUCCUGGUGCUGACGGAUGGGGUGUGAGCACGACCCAACUUAGAAGAAAGGGACUCCCUUGCAUAGGGGCCUCCUGGCAUUUUGUUUUGUGUUCUCCCUCUCCACCCCCACUUUCUGUCCUUCCUGGGAAAGGAACUGUUCUUUGGGCCUAGGAUUCUGUAGUGAGUGACUAAUGGCCCGAGUAGGAGGGACCGGGACUCAUUUUUCUUUUCUGGACUCUAAUAGGCCCAAUUAAUUCAGCUACAACAUGGGCCCUUACAAGCUUGGGACAAGCCUGGGUGGAAUUUUAUAUUGAGAAGUUAAUACUAAUAAAAAAUGAUUACAGAAGAGGACGCCUCCACCCACAGGAAGGAGCCAGCACAGUGGGGAGCUGUUUGACCAGGGGAGUGUUCUCAGCAGCUGCCACACGUGGAGGUGUGGAGGUAGCAAGCAGAGUAGGGGGCGGAGGGGGAACCCUGGUUCCUGGGAGGCCUGAGUCCUGCUCUUCCAUGAUUAGCUGCGCAGUCUUGAGCACGGCACUCCCUCUCUUCCCAGCUUAGUGUCGUCAUCCGUAAAAUGAGGGGCUCUCUGAGGGUCUGCCAGGGCUGCUGUGUGAUCCGUGACAGCGUGGCAUGUGGUGUGGUAUGUGAUGCAUGUUCCCGCCUGCGGGGAGACCCUCUCCCUUCCCCCACCAGGCCUCUGAGCAGCACUCGCUGUCAUCCUUGCUUCUGGAACAGGCCUGUGCUAUUUUCCAGGCCAAACUGGAGGGCUGAGGGGGUCUAUUAAGAAGACUUCAGGGAGAUGCUGGAACAAUUCUUGAAAUUACCCUCCUCUUUAAAUCUUGCCAUGGCCCUAUUAGAAAAGCUAAGGGGGCAGAGGGAGAGGAGAGAGCGGGGAGAGGAGAGAGAGAGAAGAAGGAAGAAGGAAAGGGAAAAGUAAGAAACCCCAUAGCCCGACCCUCAGCCCUGUUGAAGGAGAUGAUAUAAAUAGAGUCGCUGUCACUUUGAUGAAUUAAAUCCUCCGUUAAUUAGGACGCAUCGAUUUAAGGGUUGUCCAACCAGGUAGUCCUUUUCCCUUCCCAGCAAGUCAUAGCUCACGGAGGAGGCAUGAGAGGGAUCGUUUUCCGUGUCUGGCUUGAUUGCUGGUUUCUUUCUUACUAGGCUCCAUUAAUUAUCCUAGAAUGUGGUCACCCAAUUUUCUUCAACAUGGGCCAUUCUCCUUUCAGCGGGAUCUUGGCAGCAGACUGCCACAGGAGCUCUGGGGAAAAAGGACCAGUGGGAUCCCAGUACCUCCUGAGAGACCACCACCCUCCCCGCCUCCAGCUCAUGCCCAGCUCUGAGUCAAAUGGACUCUUCCUGUUGUACUGUGAGGUUGCGCAAACCUUAAAAGGCAAACACAGUGAGGGUCUCUGGCUUGCUGUGUGGACAGCCCACUCUCUGACAAGCAGAUCAUCUGCAGCUAUCCCUGGGCUAGGAGCUGGAAGCCAUUCUUGUGAACUACUCCUUAUACCUUGAGCUAAACCUCUUUGGGUCCCAGAAGUCUGAGGCUCCAGCUGCCUGGCAAGACUGAGUCUAUAUGAUUUCUUGAGUACAAGUAGUUUGGCAUUUUAAAAUACUGGAUAAACCGCAAUGUAAACUUAGAUUGCAUUUCAGAUUGUAAACAAUGACCCCAGUGCUUCAUGUUAAAUCAGAAAUGAGCUAUUAACCAAGCUAGUCCUCUUAUGAAUGAGCCCCUAACCCUGAUCCAGGGAUCCUUGAACGAAAAUCAUCAAAAUGAUUUAUCUUCACUUUACCUAUUAUCUCACAAGAAUCUCAUUACUCAGGGAAAAGGAGGGUGUUCUUCAGGGGACAGAGGGCAUGGGCGAGGGGACUUCCUUAUAACUCAACUUUCAGAGGGAGCUGAGUUGUAAACAGAUGGAACAAGGUGUGUACGAGAAGCCUCUUAGAUUUAAUCUUUCAUAUCAGGGCUCUUGCUGAAAAUUCUGGCACCGCUGUGAAAUGACGGGAGCUCUGACACACAGAGACACCCUCCUUGCCUUGCCAACCUUCCCAUACACAGUCAUGCGCACCGAGAGCAGGUACCAAUACUGAAAAUGCCUUUCUGGAGUUGCCUCAGUAUAAACCCUUGACAACUUAGCAACAGCAUCAAGUGAGGAAGCAGUUUCCUUGAUCUGGGGAAGAAGAACCAACUCAUAAACAUGGAACUGUG